rnacentral:rRNA from 1 species
UACGUAGGGUCCGAGCGUUGUCCGGAAUUACUGGGCGUAAAGAGCUCGUAGGUGGUUUGUCGCGUUGUUCGUGAAAACUCACAGCUCAACUGUGGGCGUGCGGGCGAUACGGGCAGACUGGAGUACUGCAGGGGAGACUGGAAUUCCUGGUGUAGCGGUGGAAUGCGCAGAUAUCAGGAGGAACACCGGUGGCGAAGGCGGGUCUCUGGGCAGUAACUGACGCUGAGUUGCGAAAGUGUGGGGAGCAAACGGG